CUACGGGAGGCAGCAGUGGGGAAUUUUGGACAAUGGGGGCAACCCUGAUCCAGCCAUGCCGCGUGCAGGAUGAAGGCCUUCGGGUUGUAAACUGCUUUUGUUAGGAACGAAAAGCCAUUGAAUAACACUCAAUGGUGCUGACGGUACCUAAAGAAUAAGCACCGGCUAACUACGUGCCUGCAGCCGCGGUAAUACGUAGGGUGCAAGCGUUAAUCGGAAUUACUGGGCGUAAAGCGUGCGCAGGCGGUUAAGUAAGUUAGAUGUGAAAUCCCCGGGCUCAACCUGGGAACUGCAUUUAAAACUGCUUAGCUAGAGUGUGUCAGAGGGGGGUAGAAUUCCACGUGUAGCAGUGAAAUGCGUAGAGAUGUGGAGGAAUACCAAUGGCGAAGGCAACCCCCUGGGAUAACACUGACGCUCAUGUACGAAAGCGUGGGGAGCAAACAGGAUUAGAAACCCGAGUAGUCCC
rnacentral:rRNA from 1 species